GAAGCGGGACGGGUAGCCGGCCUGAGAGGGCGACCGGCCACACUGGGACUGAGACACGGCCCAGACUCCUACGGGAGGCAGCAGUGGGGAAUAUUGCACAAUGGGCGAAAGCCUGAUGCAGCGACGCCGCGUGAGGGAUGACGGCCUUCGGGUUGUAAACCUCUUUCAGCAGGGAAGAAGCGAAAGUGACGGUACCUGCAGAAGAAGCGCCGGCUAACUACGUGCCAGCAGCCGCGGUAAUACGUAGGGCGCAAGCGUUGUCCGGAAUUAUUGGGCGUAAAGAGCUCGUAGGCGGCUUGUCACGUCGGGUGUGAAAGCCCGGGGCUUAACCCCGGGUCUGCAUUCGAUACGGGCUAGCUAGAGUGUGGUAGGGGAGAUCGGAAUUCCUGGUGUAGCGGUGAAUGCGCAGAUAUCAGGAGGAACACCGGUGGCGAAGGCGGAUCUCUGGGCCAUUACUGACGCUGAGGAGCGAAAGCGUGGGGAGCGAACAGGAUUAGAUACCCUGGUAGUCCACGCCGUAAACGGUGGGAACUAGGUGUUGGCGACAUUUCCACGUCGUCGGUGCCGCAGCUAACGCAUUAAGUUCCCCGUGGGGG
rnacentral:rRNA from 1 species